GGGGCAUUAGCGCAGUUGGGAGCGCGUAACAUUCGCAUUGUUAAGGCCACGGGUUCGAUUCCCGUAUGCUCCA
rfam:Eubacterium plexicaudatum ASF492 genomic scaffold acLZb-supercont1.6, whole genome shotgun sequence.